rnacentral:rRNA from 1 species
CAAUCUAUACGGUGAAACUGCGAAUGGCUCAUUAAAUCAGUUAUCGUUUAUUUGAUAGUACCUCACUACUUGGAUAACCGUGGUAAUUCUAGAGCUAAUACAUGCUAAAAACCUCGACUUCGGAAGGGGUGUAUUUAUUAGAUAAAAAACCAAUGCCCUUCGGGGCUCCUUGGUGAUUCAUAAUAACUUAACGAAUCGCAUGGCCUUGCGCCGGCGAUGGUUCAUUCAAAUUUCUGCCCUAUCAACUUUCGAUUGUAGGAUAGUGGCCUACAAUGGUGGCAACGGGUAACGGGGAAUUAGGUUUGCAGCACCACCCCCCGAUGUCGACGGGUCACCCGCUAACAUGGCAACCAGGGUUCUAUUCCGGAGAGGGAGCCUGAGAAACGGCUACCACAUCCAAGGAAGGCAGCAGGCGCGCAAAUUACCCAAUCCCGACACGGGGAGGUACGCAGCCCAUUCCACGCCUAUUUCCGGCCGAACCUCUCGCUAACUUUCAAUUAUAGGUAGUGACAAUAAAUACUGAUAUAGGGCUCUUUUGGGUCUUGUAAUUGGAAUGAGUACAAUUUAAAUCCCUUAACGAGGAACAAUUGGAGGGCAAGUCUGGUGCCAGCAGCCGCGGUAAUUCCAGCUCCAAUAGCGUAUAUUAAAGUUGUUGCAGUUAAAAAGCUCGUAGUUGAACCUUGGGCUUGGCUGUCCGGUCCGCCUCACCGCGUGCACUGGUUCGGCCGAGCCUUUCCUUCUGGGGAGCCGCAUGCCCUUCACUGGGUGUGUCGGGGAACCAGGACUUUUACUUUGAAAAAUUAGAGUGUUCAAAGCAGCCUAUGCUCGAAUACAUUAGCAUGAAUAUAGAUAGGACGUGUGKUCUAUUUGUGGUUCUAGACGCG